AAGACUAUACUUUCAGGGAUCGUUUUUAUAGUAUAUUAUUGUAGAAGUUUUUUUGAGCAUGUGAAGCGUUGGUCAAACCGCGAAGAGGUAGAUGUUGUGUCGUUUUCCAAAAAAUCACUAUCUGGUGGCGUUUUAUUGUAGUUGUUAUUUGCUAUUGAUGGUCGUUCUUCUCUCCGUUUGGGGAAGGUGAGAGGGAAAGAACGUGGUGUGAGUGGU